ACUCCUACGGGAGGCAGCAGCAAGGAGUUUUCCGCAAUGGGCGCAAGCCUGACGGAGCAACGCCGCGUGGGGGAUGACGCCCUUCGGGGUGUAAACCCCUUUUCUUGGGGACGAAGCAGUGACGGUACCCGAGGAAGAAGGCCCGGCUAACUACGUGCCAGCAGCCGCGGUAAUACGUAGGGGCCGAGCGUUGUCCGGAGUUACUGGGCGUAAAGCGCGCGCAGGCGGCUCGUCAAGCCUGACGUGAAAGCCCCCGGCUCAACCGGGGAGGGUCGUCGGGGACUGGCGGGCUUGAGGUCGGCAGGGGUUGGUGGAAUUCCCGGUGUAGUGGUGAAAUGCGUAGAGAUCGGGAGGAACACCCGUGGCGAAGGCGGCCAACUGGGCCGGACCUGACGCUGAGGCGCGAAGGCGUGGGGAGCGAACGGGAUUAGAUACCCUGGUAGUC
rnacentral:rRNA from 1 species